UCCAAUGUAAUGGCAUUAAGUAAUGCCAAAGAGAGAUUCUUCACGUGGGAUUGUUUAGCUACAAAAACAAGUCAUGAACUUGUUUGCUGAAACUUAUACACAGUACAAGAAUUCACUGCUCCAGAUACACAGACACCAACAAAAAAGAUUUCUCUUCAAACCAUUGGCACAAAACCUCCUUACAUGGAGAUGCUACACCAACAAAAGAAGGCAACGUACACAGAAUUCUACAAUUUACAAGGCAACCAAGUUUGUCGUCAAGAAGGGGAAACCCCAAAAAACCCUCUAAAAAAUUUAAAGUAUCUCACACAAACAUAUACAUAUACUAACCCACAUUGCUAUUUCUCAGAAUACCUUUCUCUGGUAACAUCUAGCACAAAUAUCUUUGCCUCUUUGCUGAAAUAACUCCUUGAUUAGGGGCAUGGCAGAUCAAACCGGAAGGCAGCCAUUUAGAUUUCGUAUUCCUUGGGUCAUGUAUACAACACCGACUGCCCCACGACCUCCUACUCAGCCUCAGUCUCAGCCUCAGCCUCGGCCUCAGCCCCAACCAACUCAGCCCACCACCCCGGUUCGUCCUCCAUUUCGUCCAGCAGGAGUAGCUCCUCCACGUCUACCUUCCCCACCCCAAGUCCGGUCAAGGACUGACUCUCAGCCUCCCUCUCCAGCACGUAUGGUGGCAUCUACACCGCCUUCACCAGACAAAUCAGCCUUACCAAUUCGAUCAGCACCUCAAUUGAGCUCUCAGCCUCCUUCACCGUCUAAAACAGCUUCAUCCCAAGCCCCUUCAAAAACUGAAUCUCAGCCUGCGUCUCCAACUCGAACAGCCCCUAAAUCCCAAGCAAGCUCUCAGCCCUCAUCACCAUCAAUUUCCCCACCUCGAACACCACCAACUACUGAUUCUAAGUCAUCCAUUCCGUCUCUAACAACCCCAAAAUCACAAGUUCCAUCUCAGCUGCCAUCUCCAUCUCCUACAUCUAAAACACAAUCAGCAACCCGAACAUCCUCACAACCAUCAUCACCAUCUCUCGCACAAACCCAGCCACAACAAGUGUAUCAGCAUCCAUCUCCAUCACACACAGACUCACAAAGAGCUACUCAAACAUCCUCACAACCACCAUCUCCGUCUCAUAUUGUAUCUCAAGUGGGAGCUGCGACUCAAGCUGCGACUCAAAAUAUAUCCCAUCCACAAUCACCAUCACUCCAAGCCUCUCAAUUACAGCCAACAUCUCAAAAGCUAUCUCCGCCACCAUCACCCCCAAUGUCAUCAGCUUUUCAGACUGAACCUCGAUCCACCAACAGCCAGCCAAAAAUGUCCGAAUUACCAUCCAAAUAUCCAUUGAAGGCAGAAGGCUCGUCUCAACAAAUCUAUCAGCCAGACCAGAAAAGGCAGCCACAAUUAGGGUCUCCUGCUGUUUUUGUUGAUCCCAGACAGCAUCAGGCACCAGAAAGUAAAGCAGAAGAAAAAAAGAAAGAGAACUCAACAGUCCCAGUUGACGAAGAAAGAAAGCAGAGGACAAUACCUGAGUUUAUUCAAAUGGCUUCUGUUUCCAACACACAUCCCAAAGGCCAGCUUGAUACAUCCGAAGAAGAAAAGCAGCAGAGAAGGAAACAUGCAGGCACCAAUGAAAAGGAUAUGA
rnacentral:lncRNA from 1 species